rnacentral:lncRNA from 1 species
CCCAGCGCUGUGUCCCGUUCUCCUCGCGGCCCCCCGGAGUCGUUGCGGGCGGGGCCCCCGCGGUGCCCCCGUGGAGCGUGUGUGCGCCGCGCUCACCCGGCCCCGGAGCCGGACAAACAAUGUGAGACUCGGAGGAACAAAAGCCUCGGGGCUUGGGUUGCUGAACACGUCUGAGGCCAGACAAGCCGCUCAGUUUAUUGGACUUGCCACAUGCCUGGAAGCCCCCGGAGAAGAGGAGGUUGCCCUUUUCCUGCUAGUGCUGUAGACUUCAGGGGUUGGUUGUUAUCUUUGGUUAUCUAGCUGUAUGAGUGGUGUCGAUUCUUCAUAAAGCUAGAUAACCGAAAGUAAAAAUAACCCCAUUACACGCCUGAGGAGGAUGUGGAGAAGAAAGGAAAUUCAUCGGGAGGAAGAGAAGGAAAACAAAAAGAAAAAUGAAAGAGAAAGAAAGAAAGAAGACGAAGGAAAGGAGAGGCGGAAAAAAGAAAGAACAGAGGGGAGGAAAAAAAAAAAAAAGACAACUUUUUGAGACUGGAAUUAAAAACCGAGGUAGGAUUUCAUGAUUUCUUCAUUUCAAGACCUGAUUUGUCUCCUUUUAAGCAAGCAUUUUCUGGUUCCGCCUUGAGCAAAAUGGGGACGGUGCCGUUCUUUGCUCGGCUGCUGACUAUAAUUGAAUUAACAAAGUAAAACUUCCCAUCAGAUUGUGAAUUAGUGAAGCACAGGACCCAGACUGCAGAUCGAGGAUGAACUCUCAUUGCGUAACCUCUCGUAUAGCAUCGCAGAACCCAUAAAUCAAUACAGAUUACCGUGCUGGAUUAUCUGUUUAAUAAAGCAGCAACCGAGCACUGUUUAUUAAUGGUUGUUUUGCAAAUAUGAACACUGGAUUCUUUUCCUUUUUUCUCUUCUCCCCACCCCCCCCCCCAACCCCCCCACUAUUUCCAAUCUAUUUAGCUUCAUUCCCUGACAGAGAUAACUUGGUAUCCAGAUUAGAAAGAGCGAUGCAGUGAUUUGGAAAAUGGUUUCUUGCAGCUUUCUUUGUGUUAUUUUAUUUUUUUUUAUUAUUCCCUCUUUUUGUACCUCUAUCCAAACGCUCCCUUUCUUCUUUCAACCCUCUGCCUGUGAACGUUUCUUUGAUCCAAGAUUGGGGUUUUAUUAACAAAACUAUCUAUUUAAUUUGCCUUUGAAGCAGCGCGAGACGAAUGGGGGGGGAAACUUGAUUUUUUUUCUAUUAUUUCUUCUCUCCGAAUGCCAAUUCACACCAAUCUUCGCUCCCUUCACUGUGUUAUCUCUUGGCCCCUUCUUAUGGAAUCCAGGAUUUCUACUUGCUCUGCUUUAGAAGGGGACUGGGGUUCAUGGAUGUGCAUUGGGCGCUCCCCACCCACUGCUAUGGCCAGGCUGCUUAGAUGCCACCCGCCCAACCUGGCGGCCCAUUUGGACAAUGUCUUGAUGCUGCUUCAAAGAACACAAAGCUCUCCGUGUGGGUUAGGAUAUAUGUUACAUACCAUCUCAUAACGGUCAUUCCAAGGGUUGGGGGGGUUGCAAAGCUCUUAAUAAAAAAUGUAUAUGAGCCUUAGCGGCCGAACUGAUGUUGGAAAGGAGUCUUUAGAGCAUUGCACCUUGGGAGAGGUGUAGAAAAAGAGCUGGCUUUUGACCUGUGCUGGACCUGCUCAUUUUGCUCUUGUGCUCAUCAGAACCUUAUUAUUAUUAUUAUAUUUUUUAAAGGGAGAGGGAGAGUGGAAGAAACUGUCCCUGGGACCUUGUGCAGGGGGAGGCUGUAGUUCAGGAUGCGGUGUGAGAUGAGUCAUGCUCCUAUGAUGACUUUAAUUUAAUAAACAAAGCCAUUUUCACCUCCUCACCCACAGCCCCAUAAUUCAGACUCACUCGGUGCAUGUGCCACCUCCCUGCACCCAUUUCCUUGGGGAUGAGUCCAGGAAACACCCCCUGCCCACACCCUUCUGGGUGUGCUCGGGUGCUGCUCUUGUCCUGCAGCCGAGGGUGCUGGGGCAGAGGGACAUUUCUUUGUGCUCUCAUUGCAUCCCCUGCUGCUGCUCCAGGCUGGUGGCACAUCCCAGGCCGGGGCCAUGUGGCUGAGAGUGGAGGGAUGGAGAGCACUGAGUCCAUGGACGGUUUCUAUGGGGCUUGUCCUGUGCCUGAGCAUGGGAUGGAGUCAGCCGCCUGGCUUUGGUGGCAGCAGGAUGUCACUGUGCUGCUGUCCCCUUUGAGGUGCCCGGUGCCACCAGCAGAUGUUUGGGUGCGGGUGGGCAUCGGGCACAGCUGUGUGUCCUCGUGCAAGAGGCUCACUGGGGACAAUGCAGUGGGUGAGGUGCUUUUAUUGCUGGGGAGCAGCCACGUGCCACCCUCUGUUGAACAGUGGAUUGGGUCUGGGUGGGGGGAGGGGGAGUGGUGGAAGGACGGUGCCAAUCAGGGGCUGGGAGCAGCGUGCCAUCAUCUUUUGGUUUUCCCAGGUGACCAAUCCUGGUGGGCACGGGGCCGAGGCGGUGCUGCCAUAGGCUGUGGUGUGAUGCUGUCACCUGCUCGGCUCUAACAAAGGCAUGGGCAGAGAUGGGGCUGGUGACCUGGGAUGAGGGCAAAGCUCUGUGGGGAAUUUGGUGACCCAUGGAGUAGGGGAUGCUCAUUGUCCAAGCCAUUCCCUGCUCAACCAUCCCUACUGGGUGCAAUCCUGCACUCCUAAGAGGGAAUCGAUACUCAGCAGCCCCAUUUCUCCCACCCCAUGGGGCUCGGGAUGCUGUCAGAUGCUCUCUGUCUUAGCAGAACUUCUUUACAGUCUCAUGUCACUGCGGCAGGUGAGCAUGAGCAUGGCCAUCCCAAGGCCUUUGGGAGCUGGAAUCCUGCAGGCAGCUGUCCCCGACCCUUAUUUAUUUCCUCCUCUCCCCACUUUGCUCCCAGAGUGUUCUGGCAGUAGGAGCACUGUGUGUUGGCAUGACGUUGAUCUAAAUUGCAGCUUAUAUGUGGCUGUUUAAGCUUGCUUGGACACUGUGAUUUGAGUGGUUAACACUCAGCACUGUCUGCUCGCCUCUCCCUUGUGUCUACCUAACUGCUGGAGACGUUAAUGGGAGAGAUGCUUGCAUGUUCUGUAUUGAGCGCUCAGCCCUCCGUGUCCUUUCUCAUGCUUGACGCAGAGUGGUUGGAGCAAAGAAAGGAGUAAAGGCGAUACUAAUUAAUCACCGGGUCAGUGAGUGAUUGAGAAGAACCGGCUUAUACAGAUGUAACCAUUGACAAAUGGUGAUCUCAAUUCAGUGCAUCGUUUUCACCUUGAAAUACCCUAGGAAUGAACCUGAGGUUGACUUGCCUUUGCCUUAAACAAAUGGCUGAAGCCUUCCGAGGUCUCCAGCCCUCGUCAUCCCCACUGUGACCCAUUGGGUUUCUCGUGCUAUGGGCCAGGGAGGUGGAGAAUAGUGCGGUCACAAAGAAACCAUGUGUGUGUGCGUGUCUAAAUGCAGGAAUAUCUAUGUUUCAAACUCCAAGUAAUUGCAGCAGGGUUGCAGUGCUGAUGGAUGGAUUCUGGUGAUGCUCACGAGGGAGCAGUGGGGUUUUGGGGUCUGUGCCUCACCCUGUUCCCAAGGCAAUGCUGUUGGGAAUGUCAGGUCUGUGUGGGUCUGCUCCUCGUUGGCCUGGGGCUGUGUCUUUGUGCUGGGAGCAGCCGUUCCUCUCCAAAUAAGCAGGACUCCCAAGCCCUGAGGGUUUCCAAGGGCGUGAUUUUCACGUUGGGAUUAUGACAAAGCGUCUGAGUGGGCGCACUGAGUUCCUGGAGGAACCAAAUUGGGCCCUGUUGAAUUUUGGCAGUGAGAACAGCAUCCCGGGGCUGUGCUCUGCAUGAAUGGUGUGCCCCCGAGCUCUGCCCCCGUUGCAGAUUUGGGACAUUGCAGUGCUCUGCAAUGAGUCUUGCCGUGCCCCGCAUUAGCGCUGGGCAUCCCAGUGCUACUUUUUCCCCUAUAGCACAAAAAAGAAAGCAAUGAGGGGCUUUCUCCAUUCCUAUCCCCUCAGCAAGCCAAUGUGGCACAUGGCAUCCACCAAAUGGGAGUCGACGGGUGCCCUGGGGGGACAGCUGAUGGCAUUUCCCUCGGCAGCAGCAGGGAGGAAAAUGCUGAGCUAGGCACUGGUGGGGCCGGGUCGGUCGCUGUGAUGCUCUGAGGGUGAUUGGAUGUGAAAGCAGAGCUGCUGGCUGCUUUCUGGCUCCCCAUUUGCCUCGUGUUGCAGGAGGUUUGGCUGGCCUGGGACAAUGUGACAGCACUGCCAUCGAGAUAGGAGCCUUAAAAGUAGUUCUAGAGCCAUGGUCUGGUUGCCCUGUGGGGUUUUUAGGGAUGGGGAGAGCCAAGUGUGAGUGCUCCGCUCUCUGCCUUCUCUAGAAUGCAAUGGAAAGGCAAUGGCUGCUGGCUGGGGGGCUCGAGAGCAGGCAAGCAUCUGCAAAGCGGUGCUGUCGUGGUGGGUUUCGCAGGAAAAGAUGGGAAAUGCACUGAGAGCUGAAUCACAGGGCAGAUCGCUGAGGUCUGUGAGGGUGGGAGCAGCUCCUGGCUGAAUGUGCUCCGAUCAGCGGUCUCGUGCUGGUGUGACAUGAGGAUUUGCCCUGCUGCUGCUGAGAGCCGGUGCUCGUGGCUACGAUGCUGAGCUGUGUAAUCCCUAAGCUGUGGCUCUGACAGCCCUAGGAGGUGUAAAAAUCAUUCUAAUUCCACUUUCAGGGCUUUUGGUGUCACCAGGGCAGGGACAAAGGGGGCAAUGCCAAGUGUGUGCGCUCGGUCUCAAAUCCCUGCACAUGGAUCUUGGGGAAAAUGUGAUUAAUAAGUGCUGGGGAUGAACAUGGGUGUGUGUGAUGGGGGUAUUAACCACCCCAAAGUUGUUUUGUUUGGAGGAAAAAAGUGUGUAUAUAUAUGUCUGUCCUUGGAUCCAUUUUGUUCCCUUUGAUAGAUACUGUGUGGGUAAUGGGGAGGAGAUGAGGGGCUGCAGGACUGUGAUUCCCUUUUGGAAGCACUGAGUGCUCCUUGGGAAGGAGGAAGAGCUUCCCUUGAGGUGUUAGCUUUGUUCCAGCCCUUCCUCCUGCUCUAACUUUCAGUCAGUGUCAAAGGGAGGGAAGCCUACAAUUAGGACUGGUGGGUUCUGAGUGGGUUCCUCAGCCCCAAGCGGGUUUUGUGCCCUCCUGAGCCCCUGACGCACCAUGGGCUGCGCCGUCCUCACCUCCCAUGAGUGAGCUGUAGGGGGGGAAAACAAAAUGGAAAGGAAUUGUGUCUUCAGAUGGCCUGGCAGCGUUGUCUGGAGCUGCAUGUGGGGUUGAUGGGAAAGGUGUGGGGAGCUGGGAAUGUAACUCUGGCUGACGAAGGGCAACAGGGAUGGAGUUUGCUUGGAAGCUUGGGUUGAUGCCAUGCAGAGCUGUUGGUGUUCAGGGACUCGUGGGUGCUGCAGAGGGUGAAUGGGCCACCGAUGGCUGCGGGUUCUGCACAGACCCCACCUCCUGGGGAGUUUGCUCCCUUCCUCUGCUUUGGUUUAGCUUCGAACCACCAAAGCCCGGAGAAACCUGCUCCCUAUUAAAGCAUAUCGAGAUAUAACAUAUAAAAACAUGAAGUUUUAUCUCAAGGCCAUUCCAUUCCAGAGGAGCUGGGUGCUUUCUGGAGCACGCGCUGCGCACGGCCGUAGAACCCACGGCUGCAAGGCUCUCUGCUUUGCGGGUUGCCAUGGAAAACCAGGAUUAUUCAGCUUGUGCAUGGGCAGAGGGGGCCAGCACCAUCGUUUUGAACAUGCACCGUGCUGGCCCUGGUGGGAGCCUCGGCAUCCUCCCUGCUCUCCUCCCGCAGCCCCAGCCCCUUGGCUGGGCUCUUAUCUCCAAUAAUCCUCCCAUAAGAGGGCUUUCUGCUUGUUAUGACACCCAGUGAAAGCGUGGGAGAAAGAUCCUUUCUUCACCCUUGUCCUCCGCAGCCAGCCACUAGCCUGAAUGGGAGGCUUUUUUGUGUCCCUGUGUGCCUGACUAAUUGAGCUGAAGGACUUGCGUCUGGAAGGGCUUGAAAGGGACUUUUGUUGCUGCUGCAGAGUUUGUGGAAGGCGAAUGAGCACUGCUUUCUUAAGGGAUGCAGGUCCUGGGCAAAUUUGACUCUCGAGUGCUCACGCCUCUGAGGUCUUUGGGAAAAUUAGGAGGAAAAAAAAAAAAAGGGUGGUGGGUUUGCUUGCUUGCUUUCUUUUUUUUUUUUUUUUUUCCUUGCUGAAAAAUGGAGUCUGGCCCCCAAAUGCUUUGUGAGCCGGCUUUAAAACAGGGCUGAGAAAGCACUGAGAUAAGAAAAUGGUGGUUUAAAAAUAACCACGCCGCCUCCUGCGUCCUCAGGGCUGACACUCGGAGCACAAAUCCCCUCCGUGACCUCAGGAGGAAUUGAGGUUCCACCAUCCAACGGCGCUUCCCAGCUGUGUUCUGCCCCGUCAUGCUGCGAGCUGAUGGGCACUGAGCACCCCCAGCACUGCCCACACCCCUCCGUUCGCUGCUGCAAAAUCCUCUUUCCCUUUUUGCCUUUGCUGUGAUGGAAGGGGUGGGAAGUCGGGGUUCUUGACGCAGUUGCUUUCCUUAGGGCAUGGGGUUGUCCCAUGGGUGCUGUCUGUGCAUGGAAGGGUGCAGAAGCACUCGGCAUCACUCUGUGCGCGGUGCUUCCAAUGGGCCCUCGUUCAUUUCUCAGGGCAUCCUCAUCCAGGAUGGGGAAAACUGAGGAUGUGCAACAGAAUGCAGCCGGGCUUUCUGACAGCAGUGCAGAUGUGGCCAUUGGUGCAACUGGGGGAGGGUGCUCGGCUGCCCAAUCUCACCCCAGCCACAUUUCCCUGCACAAUGCACCUUGCGGACAUUUCCUUGAUGCUGCUGGAGAUGAUGAGGGGUAAAUGCAUCGACAGAGCUGGAAAGUCCAAGUGAGGACCAAGGCCUCGCAUCCCCCUGUGGCGGCCAUCCAAAAUCACUCAGCCUUUUCCUCUCCCCUGAUCUCCAACUGAUCUGCAAACUGUGGUUUCUCUUAUCACCUCAAUGUAAAAAUUCUUCUUCUUUUUCCUUCCCUUUAUCAUUUUUCCUUUUUUACCCUUCUCCUCCCCAAUCAUGUAAUUCCCCAAGCUGCCAGGCUGCACUCCUAUAGACGUGGAUAGACGUGUUCCCUUUGCCAGUGGGGUUCUGGCACAAAGCAGCUCCACCUCCGCUCCUCCUUUGCUGCGGCGCUGGGGAUGCCGUUGACUCCACCAGUGCAGACAGUGGCUUCCCCUGCUGUGAUGCCCCACUCGUUUCCUGGGCAGCCAAGAGCAAUGCUUGAGUCCUGGUGGAAGUUCAUUCAGAAUUGCCUGGAGCGAAGGCUGGAGAGGAAAACCACAACCACAGCAGAGCCUGGACACGGGGAGCUGCUAGCAGGACCCAUCUCAGGGACAGUCACUGUGUGUACCUUCCUCCAUCCUCCUCCUGCUCCCAGCAGCUGAUGGCCUGGAGCAGCACAGAGCAAGCCUGGCAUCGGGCUAUAGGGACACCAGGAGCACCCCGGGGAUAGGACCCAACACCAUGCCACACUGGUGGAGAACACAAAGCUGGAAGAGGGGAAAAAAAAAAUCAACAGAAGAAGAAGAAAAGAAUGGAAACGAAAGUCUCCAAACUCAGGAGAUCUGUGUUAAUUGCUUACGAACGUCUCCAUCCCAAAAGUUAUCCGAUUGAUGUUGUCGUGCUUUUUUUUUGACAGCCUGUCUGUUAUGUAUUUUUUUUUAAAUAUUCAUGCACCGAAAUCUAAUUACUAGGCAAAUUUAAUGAUAAUGAAAUGAAGGCACUUUAGCAGAAAGCAUAGGGCCUUGUUAAUAUUUUCUCAGUCUCUGUCUUGCUCACAUUUUUUUUUCACCGCCGCCUUUCUUGCAGUAUAAAAGAAUUGCCAAAAAUAAAACUUGGAUUGCUGAAGAUGUUUGUGGUGGCUCUUUUUAUAAUGAUGGGGGAUUUGUGAGGUGAUUAAAGGUGUUGGGCAAAAAAAUCAAGUGAGCCAAAGCUAAUCGGGUCAGGCAGAUGAAGUAUUGAUGUUAGGGAACGUUAUGGGGGAGGACGGGUGCAUGCAUGGAUGGAUGGAUGCAUGCAUGGAUGGAUAGAUGGAUGGAGG